AUGCCGUUUAUUAAUAGUAAAACAUAAUAAUAGAACUUAAGUAGUCAAGUAGACUGCAAUGUUCUAUUAUUAUUAGUUUUAAUAUGCAUUAUUAUCUUUUUAAUUUUUAAAAUAGUAAAAUGUAUCCGCGUAUCAUAUUUUUUAGAAAAUUGCCGUAUCCGUAUCCUUCCGAUACUGAUACGCGUAUCCGUAUCCGUGCUGCAUAGA
rnacentral:lncRNA from 1 species